rnacentral:lncRNA from 1 species
CCACGUGAGAAGUGCCUUUCGCCUCCCGCCAUGAUUCUGAGGCCUCCCUAGCCAUGGGGACCUGUCGUCGCUGCCCUCAGCCUCCAGAUGCAGCCCCCCUGCCACCUUCAGGACCCCUGGCUCUCCCCUGGACUCAGUAGCGAAAGGGUUUAUGUGCUCGGAGGGAGACCUUCAGGAAUCUGUGCAUAGAAUGCCAUAGUGCAGAGGAAAGUCUUCUUUCUGAAACCAGCCCAACUUUUCUCCCAGAGAGUAUCAUGGAACUGAACUUUCAAGAUCAUGGCAUCUGGACAUCGAGAAAACAGAACCCUCAUCUGGCCACCUGCUGCUUUUUGACCAAUUCCCAUAUAAACCGCUAACUUCAGUCAGUUGGAGGGAUGGAUUUGAGAUUUGCCUUCUGUCUCUCAGGUGAUGUCACCAGCAAUAAAGCCUUCUUCCCUGGC